GAUGAACGCUGGCGGCGUGCCUACUACAUGCAAGUCGAACGCGCAGCGAAAGGUGCUUGCACCUUUCAAGCGAGUGGCGAACGGGUGAGUAACACGUGGAUAACCUGCCUCAAGGCUGGGGAUAACAUUUGGAAACAGAUGCUAAUACCGAAUAAAACUUAGUAUCGCAUGAUACAAAGUUAAAAGGCGCUACGGCGUCACCUAAAGAUGGAUCCGCGGUGCAUUAGUUAGUUGGGGGGGUAAAGGCUUACCAAGACAAUGAUGCAUAGCCAAGUUGAGAGACUGAUCGGCCACAUUGGGACUGAGACACGGCCCAAACUCCUACGGGAGGCUGCAGUAGGGAAUCUUCCACAAUGGGCGCAAGCCUGAUGGAGCAACGCCGCGUGAGUGAUGAAGGAAUUCGUUCCGUAAAGCUCUUUUGUUUAUGACAAAUGUGCAAAUUGUGAAUAAUGAUCUGUAAUGACGGUAGUAAACGAAUAACCCACGGCUAACUACGUG
rnacentral:rRNA from 1 species